ACAUCACCGACGGGGGUGAAAGUGUAGUAUCUGUUCUUAUCAGCUUAAUAUCUGAUAUGGGUUGUAUUUGGAUCCAAGAUAUUAAACUUAUUUUUGCAAGUUGGCGGAGUGCUUGAAGCCUGCAUCAACUCCGCAGCGGGUCGACCCGGUAUUACACUAUCUUCGGGAUCGGCCCACGUUUU